UGCUUGCUGGGGGGAUUAGUGGCGAACGGGUGAGUAACACGUGAGUAACCUGCCCUUGACUCUGGGAUAAGCCUGGGAAACUGGGUCUAAUACCGGAUAUGACCAUUCCGCGCAUGCGGUGGUGGUGGAAAGCUUUUGCGGUUUUGGAUGGACUCGCGGCCUAUCAGCUUGUUGGUGGGGUAAUGGCCUACCAAGGCGACGACGGGUAGCCGGCCUGAGAGGGUGACCGGCCACACUGGGACUGAGACACGGCCCAGACUCCUACGGGAGGCAGCAGUGGGGAAUAUUGCACAAUGGGCGAAAGCCUGAUGCAGCGACGCCGCGUGAGGGAUGACGGCCUUCGGGUUGUAAACCUCUUUCAGUAGGGAAGAAGCGAAAGUGACGGUACCUGCAGAAGAAGCGCCGGCUAACUACGUGCCAGCAGCCGCGGUAAUACGUAGGGCGCAAGCGUUAUCCGGAAUUAUUGGGCGUAAAGAGCUCGUAGGCGGUUUGUCGCGUCUGCUGUGAAAGACCGGGGCUCAACUCCGGUUCUGCAGUGGGUACGGGCAGACUAGAGUGAUGUAGGGGAGACUGGAAUUCCUGGUGUAGCGGUGAAAUGCGCAGAUAUCAGGAGGAACACCGAUGGCGAAGGCAGGUCUCUGGGCAUUAACUGACGCUGAGGAGCGAAAGCAUGGGGAGCGAACAGGAUUAGAUACCCUGGUAGUCCAUGCCGUAAACGUUGGGCACUAGGUGUGGGGGACAUUCCACGUUUUCCGCGCCGUAGCUAACGCAUUAAGUGCCCCGCCUGGGGAGUACGGCCG
rnacentral:rRNA from 1 species